AUUGAACGCUGGCGGCAUGCCUUACACAUGCAAGUCGAACGGUAACAGGCCGCAAGGUGCUGACGAGUGGCGAACGGGUGAGUAAUGCAUCGGAACGUGCCCAGUCGUGGGGGAUAACGCAGCGAAAGCUGCGCUAAUACCGCAUACGAUCUAUGGAUGAAAGCGGGGGACCGUAAGGCCUCGCGCGAUUGGAGCGGGCGAUGUCAGAUUAGGUAGUUGGUGGGGUAAAGGCUCACCAAGCCAACGAUCUGUAGCUGGUCUGAGAGGACGACCAGCCACACUGGGACUGAGACACGGCCCAGACUCCUACGGGAGGCAGCAGUGGGGAAUUUUGGACAAUGGGCGCAAGCCUGAUCCAGCAAUGCCGCGUGCAGGAAGAAGGCCUUCGGGUUGUAAACUGCUUUUGUACGGAACGAAACGGUCCUGGUUAAUACCCGGGGCUAAUGACGGUACCGUAAGAAUAAGCACCGGCUAACUACGUGCCAGCCGCCGCCGUAAGAC
rnacentral:rRNA from 1 species